rnacentral:rRNA from 1 species
GACGAACGCUGGCGGCGUGCUUAACACAUGCAAGUCGAACGGAAAGGCCCUGCUUUUGUGGGGUGCUCGAGUGGCGAACGGGUGAGUAACACGUGAGUAACCUGCCCUUGACUUUGGGAUAACUUCAGGAAACUGGGGCUAAUACCGGAUAGGAGCUCCUGCUGCAUGGUGGGGGUUGGAAAGUUUCGGCGGUUGGGGAUGGACUCGCGGCUUAUCAGCUUGUUGGUGGGGUAGUGGCUUGCCAAGGCUUUGACGAGUAGCCGGCCUGAGAGGGUGACCGGCCACAUUGGGACUGAGAUACGGCCCAGACUCCUACGGGAGGCAGCAGUGGGGAAUAUUGCACAAUGGGCGGAAGCCUGAUGCAGCAACGCCGCGUGCGGGAUGACGGCCUUCGGGUUGUAAACCGCUUUCGCCUGUGACGAAGCGUGAGUGACGGUAAUGGGUAAAGAAGCACCGGCUAACUACGUG